GACGAACGCUGGCGGCGUGCUUAACACAUGCAAGUCGAACGGAAAGGCCCUGCUUUUGUGGGGUGCUCGAGUGGCGAACGGGUGAGUAACACGUGAGUAACCUGCCCUUGACUUUGGGAUAACUUCAGGAAACUGGGGCUAAUACCGGAUAGGAGCUCCUGCUGCAUGGUGGGGGUUGGAAAGUUUCGGCGGUUGGGGAUGGACUCGCGGCUUAUCAGCUUGUUGGUGGGGUAGUGGCUUACCAAGGCUUUGACGGGUGGCCGGCCUGAGAGGGUGACCGGCCACAUUGGGACUGGGAUACGGCCAAGACUCCUACGGGAGGCAGCAGUGGGGAAUAUUGAACAAUGGGCGGAAGCCUGAUGCAGCAACGCCGCGUGCGGGAUGACGGCCUUCGGGUUGUAACCCGCUUUCGCCUGUGACGAAGCGUGAGUGACGGUAAUGGGUAAAGAAGCACCGGCUAACUACGUG
rnacentral:rRNA from 1 species